UCUCUCUUUAAGGUGCUUACAGCUGGGAGAUCAGUACAAAGACUCAGAGCCUUAGUCAUCUAGCUUCUUACCUUGUGAUGGAAAGUAUGCAAAUGACCUGUCCAGAAGACAUCAGGCUGUGGAAAUCCGAUCCAGUCAGAGUCCCUCCAGUGCCAGAGAUGCACGUCCUGCACGAGCUGCUGCUGCUGGGACGGCUGUGGGACGGGGGCCUCCAUGGUGCCCACCGAGCUGGUGUCGUCGGAAAGAGACGUAAAUGAAACCCGGGAGGAGAGCUGCUCGACGGUCAGAGUGGCCAGGGCUGAGCUCUGGCCUGAGUUAGGAGAGUUCUUGAGCAUCAGGUCGGAGGCAGGGCACACGUGAAACGGAAGAUUUUGGCACUGCUAUAUUUGACAGUGGCAUAGGGACUGAUCUUGAUCCAGCAGCCU